GAGAGUUUCGAGGAAUCUGGAAAUCCCCAAAUCUGAGUUGUGUUUUCUUCUUAUUAUUCUAGGGUUUGUUUCUUCGUAUCCCCCAAAAAUGGCUGCUACCGUACUGAGCGAUGAAUCGAUGACGAAACGAGGUUUGACAAAGGAUUCAUGGGCGUUUGAGGAGGAGGCUGACUCUUGUUCUUCGCGCAUCAAAAAGCAAAAAGUGGAAGACGAUGAUAGCAGCGGUAGCAGCGACAUCGAUAUGGAUUUCGGCACGGACAGCGAGUGGCUUCAGUAUAAAUACGUUUCAAAAGAACCAGAGUGGGGCUACGAUAGCUUUGAUGGUCGCGAAUUCAAAGUCAAUCCAAGGAUUCGUAAUUGGUCUCCCAACCAGCAACUUUAUGACAUAUACUACAACUACAGGCUUAAGGCUUUCUAGAGUAAGGGUUUUCUUCCUGAUCCUUCGGUCGGAAUCUACGAGCUCAAUCUCGAGAGGAAGAACGGUGAUAGGGGUUUAAUUGCAGAUCUUGCUAAUGUCUGUGUUAAUAAGUUCAACGAGACCAAGAACAAGACUUUGGAAUUUGGUGAAUGUUGUGAGAGUUAAUGUAAGUGGACAAGCUACAUGGAAGCUGUACAUCACGUUCAUGGCACGGGAGUGUCGUGAUGGGCCUCUUGUUGAGUACCAAGCCAAGGUGCUACAUUUUGUAAUGACACCGGAGGUAUCUCCUAUCCCAAUUCUCUGCAGACCAAGUCCUAAACUACAACUCUAGAUCUCUCUAUAUAUUCAAAAGUGUCAUGUGUUGACGACAAGCUAGCAGAGGCUAAGAUGCAUUCAAGUGAGAGAGUUUAAGCUAUUUUAUAAGGUUGUGUUGGGUGGGAAUCUAAGUGUUAUGACCUAUUAUAUCUAUUAUGACAUUAGUUCAUAAUUGUCUUGUGCUAUAUUUAUGGUUUGUGUGUGUAAUAGAUUAUGAAGUUUAUAUUCAUUAAUGAUGCACAGCUUUCUCUCAA